CCCCACCCCUGGCCUGCCUUCCCCUCGAUUUCCUCCAAUCACGAUCUUGGCCCUACCCCCUGGAUCCCGCCUCCUUCCCCCAUCAGCACUCUCUCCUGAUAGCUUACUGCCUAGCCUUGGAGUCCAUGACAGUUCCUCUUAUGGCAUCUUUGAACUCGCUACUCUGUUGCAGAAUUGAAGAGGCUAGAGAGACCACAGGAUGUGUGUAAUUUGAGAUGAAGAAGAUAAUUCAGAAGAGAGCUUCCAAGUCAGAACAGAAGAGAGUUCAGAGUCUGAGGAUGAAGCUCAUAGCAUCGGCUGUGACAUCCCCAUGGGUGACAUGAAGCUUCCAACUCAGAAGGUGGAAAAGGCGAGAUUGAAGUGUUGGACAGUCCAAUGUCAAAAAUCAAACAGCAGUGAAAUAAAUGGUCUAAAAAGAAAUAGGUGAUUCAUACCUUGUCGUUCUCUAAAAAAAAAGUCCAUUUCUGGAUGCUGUACAUUUCUGGUAUGUUAGGUGCUCUUCUUUGUUAAAUGAAUAAGUAGACAGUUGAACAGUAAAGAACAAUGUGAGCAAAGAACAAUGCAUGAAUCAGGCAACACUCAGCAUGGAAGGGAGUUCUAAGCUGUGCUGUGUAGCUGGGACAGCAUGAUUUUAUAUCUAACAGAGAACUCAAGUGCAGAAAUAGCAUGAUGAGUCCAGCAAGGUCUUCACCUUGGGCGUACACGGUCUGGUCUGGGGAGGGGCUGGGACUGGCCAAGGCUCAGCUGUGUGUGGCUGAAACCCAUAUACACUCCUAUUUCACCUGCUGAAGAUGUUUUUCCUUGAGAUUCAUGUUAUGCACUGUGAGUAUACUUGCUCCUCUAACUUUUACACAGUAUGGUGACUCUAGUUAAUAAGGAGUUAUUUCAGAAUAACUAGAUUUUGAAAGUUUCACUAGAAAGAAAUGGCAAAUAUUUGAAGUGGUAGUUAGGUGAAUUAACCCAAUUUGAUCAUUAUAUAAUGACUUAGUAGCUGAGCAGGCUCAACAGAUUUGGGUGGCAGGACACCCAGAAAUUAUGGAAGAAAUGCUAUUGGGAACAGGUCUGUACUCAGAUCUAAACUCACAGUUAACACUUCCAGAGCAGGCUUACCAACAAAUGGCUCUCACAAUGAAACAAACCUGGGUAACUACUCCCGAGGUUGGUACUCUGAUUCAGUCCUUUUUACACAUUCUUCAAUGCUCCUGUGAGUCUUAUGCCCAGUUCUUAGCCAGGUUUCAGAAAGCUGUCCAAUGACAGAUACCACAUGCACAAACAGCAGAGAUUAUUAUGCUGCUGGCUUUGAAGAAUGCUAAUAAAAAAGCACUAGGGACCAUUCAAGUGACUAAAAAUCUUGGGAACUAUUUGAAAGUAUGCGAAGAUGGAGGUAAUGAAGGUCGUAAGUCCUCCAUGUCUGCCCAACUUAUGUUUGGGUUAAUUAAACAAAUCUGGCUUCUUUAAAAAUACAGUAUUUUAAUUGUGACAAACAGGGCAUAUCUGUAAACACUCAACCCCAGGCCCACUGCAGUCCCUCAGGACUGGCCUAUUGUUACUGAACUUAAGCAUUGCUUUUUAAAAACUUUCCUUCUAAGUCCACAGGACCAACCCGGUAUUGCUUUCUCUUUUCCUUUCAUAUUGAGCAUGUUGGAGUCUAUCCUGGAGUUUUGUCCUUACCUUCUUUAGACAGUAAGCAUUUAACGAAGUCCUGCCUUUCUCAGAGCAAUACUUAACUUUCUAUGUUAAUUUUCAAGAGUUAGUAGCCACUAACUUCCUGCCAGUAACCUUGCUGAGCCUAUGCAUGCAUAUCAAUGGACAGUUCUGCCACAGGGGAUGAUGAACAGCCCUAUCGUGUGUCAGUAUUCCAUUGGUUGGGCUUUAAAUCCCGUUAGGAAAGAAUUCCCUCAAGCCUACAUAAUACAUUAUAUGAAUGAUACAUUCCUUGCUGCUGAUUCUCAGCAACAACUUAUCCUUCUUUUAGCAGAGACUAAAUAGACUUUGAUACAACAUGGGUUAUACAUAGCCUAUAGAGAAAAUUCAAACAAUCUCCCCUUAUAGUAAUUUGGGAACUCUGGUAAUGGAAAUAACAGCCUGAGUCCAGAAAUUAAGAAAAGACUCAUUAUGAACAUUAAAUUAUUUCCAGAAAUCCUUCAGGAACAUUAAUUAGAUUUGCCCAAAAUUUUUAUACCUACUUAUCAGCUGAGCAAACUAUGUAAAAAUCAUGGAUUUGAAUUCUCUUCAUACCCUCAUACCUGAGGCCCUUAAACAGCUCGAUAACAGAAAAUGUUUUGGCAAACAGAAAGGUGUUUUGAAUUAGUCUGACUGUGCCUCUUAUGCUGAUCAUACUGCCUACUCUUCACUGUCCUAUUGGACUUUUUGGUUAAACCAUGAAUGAUAACUAUCAACCUAUUGAAUAGCUUUGUCUUCCUAACCGGUUUACAAAAGUCUUGAGACAUACAGAUUAAAUGGCUAAGCCAAUUCAGCAGGCCUGCCACCACUGCAUAUAGCUUUCAGGAUUUGAUCCUGAUCGUCUGUGCCUGUUUUAUUCUUGCACAACAUACUUUCAGUAUGCUCACAUUCAUAGACG